rnacentral:tRNA from 1 species
GUAGACAUAGUUUAAAUAAAAUGUUAGAUUGUGAUUCUAGCGAUAGGAGAUAAACACUUCUUGUCUACC